GCCAGUGUGGUUUUGUGGUUGGAAUGUUGGACUUGGACACUGGGAGACCAGGGUUCGAAUCCCAGCUCAGCCU